UACGAAGGGGGCUAGCGUUGUUCGGAAUCACUGGGCGUAAAGCGCACGUAGGCGGAUCUUUAAGUCAGGGGUGAAAUCCCGGGGCUCAACCUCGGAACUGCCUUUGAUACUGGGGAUCUCGAGUCCGGGAGAGGUGAGUGGAAUUGCGAGUGUAGAGGUGAAAUUCAUAGAUAUUCGCAAGAACACCAGUGGCGAAGGCGGCUCACUGGCCCGGUACUGACGCUGAGGUGCGAAAGCGUGGGGAGCAAACAGG
rnacentral:rRNA from 1 species